AUGAGACAGCGACAGAGAGAGAGGAGUAAACGUGUGACCUCUGCAGGGAGUCGCCAAAAAUCAAAGGUCGAGGACGUCACGCUCUAGUAAUCUGUCGGGGGGGCGAUGGGACACGAGCCCAACCACGGAUCAAGGAAUUCUUUAUCACCUUCUUUGACACGACUUGAUACAAAUUAACACGAAGGUUUGGCCUCGGCGCAGGUUUCCAGUUUCCUGAGAGCGAUACCAGUUCCUACUCUGACCCUGGAACUGGUCCUGGUCCAAACUGGGACAACAUCCCACCUGUUGCUUCAGCACACUCAUUAAUAAUUCAACGAAAGCUGUUUGUUUUUUAUCCUGUGUCCUCUUUAACUAUUGAACUGUGAGGCCAAGUCGAUGUGAUAAACAACUUGCACAACCGUUUUUUUCAUGUGUCAAAUAAUAUGGGAACACGUUGUGCGACACGUGUGUCAUGUUGCAGAGGUGUCACGUUUUUAUUUGAUUGUCUAACUGUGAAAUAUCUGUGGAUGUCCUGGUUGGUUUGGUUUGUUGGAACCGAUGAAGCAACGUGAGGAGCAAGGAGCCUUCUAUGAACGAGACACUUAGAGAGAGGGAGGGAAAAACCCGUCAGCACGGUAUCAUCUGAAUUUCACCUGAUCAGGAAACUGACAAGAAACAAAAGAGGCUGCAAGAAAAAAACGAGCUUCAAACCAAAGAACAGUUUGAUUCUGUGUCAAACAACGUGACGCGGAGCCACAGGCCAACCCCACCUGUCAUCGCCCGGGAGCGUCACAAGUAUCUCUAACUUACAUCGAGCAGGAGGAGCGAGUGCCAGGAACAUCGUGUUCUCCCCUCGUGAGAUAUGAUCUGCAUCUUCUCCUUUAAAUAGGUCAGAGUUGGUUGGAAGGAGGUGGGAAGGUAAGUUGUUAAGUAGGUGGAUAAGACCACACGACAAGUUUCCUCAGACCUGAUGUUUUAAUCACUUUAUUUCAGAAAAUAUAGAUAACAUUGAUAUAAAGAUAUGUUUCAAUCAAUCAUGUUUCCUUUGGAAUAUGUACAAUUGGUUUUAGGCAGCUAUUAGUCCAUCAUAUUACAGUACUGAACAAUUGAUCAAGUAGGUAUGUUUACAAUUUAAGUAAAAUUCAAUCCAGGUUUGUUUUUUCCCCUUAACUUAACGUUUGUGUCUUUUCACCUGCACUAUUUGAUGAGAAGGGAAGUUUUGGGGGGAUUUCCAUGAUUCUUGAGAAAACGACAAUAUAGAAAUUUCACUUCUCUCAGAAUUGUAGAAAGAGGACUUGUGUGAUUUGCAGAUUAUUGUCAGCUUCUCCGCUGGAAGUCGUGUGUUUCCAUCAAGAGCCGAGAUGAUCAACAUGUACGAAUCCAAACAACCAAUGAAGUCAGCUCGAGAGUCUGAUGGAAAAAUAAACAUGUCGAGCUGAUGUCUGCAGCCAAAGAUAACACAAUAUGUCAUCGCCAUUGUGUAUCAACCCGCCCAAAUCAACUCAUGCAAGUGAUGGUUAGUUAGUGAUGCUUUUCAGACAUGCCCUUGUUAUAGGGUUAAACUCGUAUAUCUAUUUCAUUUUCUUCUUGUUUGACAGAUGUAUUAACACACUACUGACACAGGGGGGAUCGUUGUGGGCCGUAGGUCGAGGUAAAGUGGUUCGACCACUAACCAGAAGGUCUGUGGUUCAGUCCCUGUCCCCAGAUUGUCCCUGACAACUGUGUCGGCAGUGUGUGAACAAUGCAUGAUAGAAAACCACAGGAAGUGUCGACUUGAACAGUUCAAACUAAAGCUCUGAAUCUAAUGUGUUGUUUUGUGAGUCUGUUCACUUGAGGUUGUGUUUAUGGUUAACACAACACGUGCAUCCAAUCACAUGUACUUUACAUACAUGCAUGUGUAUAUGCACACAGGUGUUUAUACAUAAAAACAUGCUUGAACACAUAUACUUACACAUGCAAACACACUGAUACACAUUUAGUAUUUUAUGAAAAAGAUAAACAACUUGAUUCUGAUUUAUCUUUCACUCAAAGUUUGAUCCACUGUCACAACCUAUUUUAUUUGAUUCAGUUCUCAGUGUGUUGGAUUCAGUGCCAUCUAGUGGUGAAAAGUCACGUUGCAGCUGAACACCCCUCACCUCCCCCCUCCCCUUCCCAACAUGUAAUGGAAACUGUGGUAACCUUCAGUUGUCAUACAAACUCAAAAGGUUUAGUUUGUCCUGUUUGGACGAGUGUGAAAAAACAUGGCGGCCUCCGUAGAGAGGACCUUCUCCUGAUGUGAAUAUAAAGUAUUUUAAUAUAAAGUACUUAAAUACAAAGUACUUAAAUACAAGGGUUCAUUUAAGGUAAAGAAAACAGUUUUCAUUUUAGAUGAAAACACCACUAGAAUUAUUUCAUAUUCAAUUUCUCUAAAUCCUACACACUGCACCUUUAAAUUCUUUGCUAUGUGUGAUGUGCACUUCAUUUAUUUGAUUUGUUUGGGGAGGUGGGUGGGGCGGUAAGGUGUUUUGUAGCCUUGUUGUUUUUGUGUCAUCUAUGCAAGUACAAAGUAUGUGUAGUAUUUGUUGUGAAGUACAAUGUACACGUGAAAUAAAGCGAGUAGAGGUGCA